UGUUGAGGUUAGAAGACAAUUCCAUUUUGGUCGUAUUCCUGAAAACGUUGAUUAGAGGAAGAAAGGCUCUGUUAGACAGUCAAAGAGCAGAGAUGUAGUAAGUAUAAUAGGACCUCUUUUCCUCCAAUCUACGUUCUCAGGAAAAUUGUCGCAUGUUUCCAAACUCCCCAGAGGCUCAGGUCUUAAACAUCACUGCCUUUUCUUCACCUGGUAUUUAGGCUAUUGUGCAUGGCGAGGUGUUUUUUAUUAUUCCAAGAUGAUUCACCUGAGAUGAUUGCUACCCUUAAGAAAGUUUACCCUGAUCUUGGCAAAUGUUUGUAUUUUGAUCUUGCCAAGUGAAGUCAUUCUGUGAUUUUUGAGUUGCAUGGUAAAAGGCUUAACUGACUUCGGUAUGUCACUCAACCUGAACCUCAUAUGAAGGUAUAUAUGUGCCUUUGAUGUUUUAACAACCAUUUCUGCAUUUUUGUUUUUGUCAGGUGACUAAUAAAAAAAUGUGAUUAUGUCUUGGAGAUCC